AUUAUAGUAGUUUAAAUAUAAAACAAUAAUUUGUGGUAUUAUUAAUGAAUAAAUAUUCCUUUAAUC
rnacentral:tRNA from 1 species